AGACUUACAGCCCAAUCAAUCAU
rnacentral:snRNA from 1 species